rnacentral:sRNA from 1 species
CUUGACCUGGGGUGCCCCCUCAGAAAAGGAGGUAAAAAUUAGGGAAUAGAAGAACCUUUGGGCAAUGAGAAAUGGGGUAGGUGGAGGGAGAGCUAACCUGGCCUAAGCCAGGGUAUUUGCGCCCCCUCCUGUCUCCUGAAACUGGGGUUCUUCAUUCACCUGUUGUCAGCUGCCCCCCCCCAUCACUGGCCAUAACCGAGGGCUGAAGCAGAGGGGGCUGGGAAAGGGCUUAUCUCUGGCUACUCCCCAGGGCACAGUAAAGGGCUGGUGAUUGGCGCCGGCUCUGCGGCUAAUGGACUGACUGACCAGCUCCCCUCCCCCUGCCCUUGGCCUAGCAGAAGUUGCAUGCAGAUGUUUCCACCUUAAAGGCACAGCCCCCACCCUCAAACUUGGAUUUAACAAAUGCUCCAACAAGAGUGGGCACCUCUUGGUGGGGGGGAGUGAGGGUGUCCGGGGCUCUGAGGGUCUGUGCCAUGCCAGAGGCUAAACAGAGUGGGCCUGUGGUACACUUUUGGCUUUUAUUGGAUCCGCUCCCCCACCUCAGCAUCUGCCGAUCAGUCACAGGUCUUACGGGAACCAGAGAAAUUCCUGAAGUAGGAAGGGGAGGGGUUUGAGGGGUGGCAGGGCUGAAAAGACAUGUAGACUAGUAGGCACCAGUCUCCAGUACCAAGGAGGUGCAGGUACGGAGGCAUGGUGCAGAUAAAGGGAGAGGAGAUGGGAAAGAAGAUGCCCGCCCACUACUGCCUGUUAGAGAGAGAGAAGUCCUCACACAGGUCCACGGAAAGAUUGCCCACUACUCACUGAGCCAGCUUGUAGGUCUACAAAUAUGGAUGUGUCUGCCCCACAGCCUGUGUGCACACACAUCCCAGGGAUAUACAACUACACCCCUUAACAGCGCCCUCAUCCCUGGUUAGCAGAAAGGCUGAUGUCUGGCCUUUGUGUGUCACACAACUUCCAGAAUGCAGACAUAGGCAGUCCAGGAGUGGACAGAGACUGUUUGGAUGCUCUGUGGGAGAAAGGAUGCUGAGGCCCUUUGGGUUUGCUGGGAGCCAUGUGCCUGCUGCCACUGGGGACUCUGGGACUCUCAAAUGAAAUGGGUCUACCUCAGGUGGGUCCUGAGAACAAGAUGGUGUAAGAGAAGCAGGUUUGGGGUUCUAGGCUAGAUGCCUGACUGGUAUACGGAUGGCUCCCUGCUGCCCAGGUCCUUCAUACUGCAGAGCAGAGAACUGCAUCUUCUGUGUGUCCUCAGAGAUGGGCCAGAGCCAACGCCCAGUGCUGGCUUACAGCCCUAGCCUUCCUCUCCUCUCCAGGCCCCUCCUUCCUUCCGGGCUAUUAGUCUCUCCCAGAUCAGCUGCCAGGUCCUGCUCCUUGACGGAUCUAGUCUGGUUGCUAGGGGGAUGAGAAAAGGGGGGUCGGGGAAGGGGGAGCAAGGCAAAUAAAUCAGAGCCUGCCACACCCCAAUUCCUGGAGUGGAGAGGGGUACCGUACCAUCCCGUCUGGGCUGGGGUAAGGGGCUGGUAGGUCAGAGAUGAGCUUGUAGAAGCCUGAGUGCCUUGGCGCUUUCUGCAGCAGACCAGGGCUCUGAGCAACUGCUGCCUUUGGUCUGGGGCUCCACCCAGUCCAGCUCUAAGAGCAAAUGAUGGGCCCAGGAGACAAGGCAAGCAGAGGACCAGCACGAACCUUGCACAGGGAGCUGGCGGCAGAGCUGUGCCUUUGAGACAGCUGUGGUAGGGGCUGGGCAGAGCAGGGGAGGUUCUGAGCCCAGAGAGACAGAAAUGAAGUUUCUGUCUCCAUCUGCCCCUUUUGCUUAAGCCCCCAGAUCACUACCAGAAGGCCUUAGAAGAGAGGGGGCCAGAAAGCUAGGAGGGCUCUGUUAGUGUGGACUGAGGGAGGCCAGCCUGUGAGAGGGAUACAGCAAGGCAAAGGCAGAGAAGGUUUCAUUCCUAGUGGGGAGGAGCCAGGCUGGGAGCUCUUGGAGGAGAAAGAGGAGAAGACGUCACAGCUGUCUUGCAGUGAGGAGCUACCUAAGUAUUCUCCUGCUACCAUGCCUCCACAAGAAAAUCAACUUUGUCACAAGCCUGAAAGCAUUGGAACCAGCUGGCCAAAACUCGAUUUUCUCAGGAGAGGGAAAAAUCAUCAUUACAAGGACACAUUCCUCCCCGACCGACCGCUGGCACUUUGCUCUUCAAUUCUCCAGGCUCCGCGCUGAGACAUUUUUCCUUGGCUAAGCCAGCCUGCGUUCACCUUUCCUCACCCGGCUGAAAGCGUCCCAGCUCCUCACAUCUUGGCUCAUGUAUAAAAGAACUCAUCCGAAAGGCUUCCCGAAGGAGUUGGCAAGGGCUGCUCCUGGCUAGGGGUGGCUGCCGGGCAUUGGGGGAAGGGGCUUCAGGCUCUACCAGGUCAUUCCGAAAGCUGAAGGGACCACGUAUGGGCAUUUGAAAAUGUGUUUUCUUUGGGGCAGUUUUAAUGGGAAAUGCAGGCUUGGAAAAUAAACCCCUCAGGUGUUCUGGGGUAUCACGCUA